AGUAGAUGCCUUUCCGUUACGAAGAUUAGAAAACGUAAUUUCCCCAUUAGAGCCUAAAAUGGCAGCCCAGGUAGCAUUCUCAUCAUUGUUUUCUGAGAAGAUGAAUUGCCAAAGCAAUGCCUUUCUAAUAUCAUAAAAAUUCCAAGCAUUGGACACCAAAGAAGCAGAAUGGACCUUGGCAGCUACACUGGUAUUGGUUUUCCGGCUGUCGUUAGCCAAGGACCAAUACGUUUGUGAAGUUUGAUACCCUGCAUACAAGACUAAAUCGCCUGACUUGAAUUCCAGAUAAACACUCAUGUUAUUGCUAUUGGGAAAACUUUUAAGCCUCAUCCCUUCCACAAACUGUUGGCCAGGUAAAAGGGUAUCAGUUGGAUGGCUAAAACUCUGCCAAAGAAUACUUCCAUUUACCCCAAGCAAUACCAAGUUGCCCGAGUCCUGCAAUUCCAUGCAUUCAACUUUCUGUCCUGAAGUAUUAGCAGACCAAGCUUCACCAUUUCCUCUUUGUAAAUACGCAUUCCCAUUUUUCUCAAACACAAACUUAUCAGAAUCUCUAAUCAACAAGCCUCUAUUGGCAGUCCAAACUACUUUUGCGCUACUAAUAUGAAUAACAACCAGCAAAAAGAAUUGAACAUCCAAAGCAGUAUAAAAGCCAAAACCAAAAACCGAGUUAUUAGAGAUUAGAAAAAGCCCGUUGUUAUUGAUCCACUCCAUCUGGGUUGCUUCAAACCCAGGAUAAAGCUUGCCAAUAUGUUGGGAGCCAGCAAUGCAGGUUUUGAACACAAGGAGUAGACAAAAACACAAGGCCCCAGUGUAUCUAAAUAAACCCAUAAUUUCUUUAACUGCAAAAACGCACUCAACUUUCCCAAAUAAACACGAGCAACUUACAACCAAAAAUUAGCUCAAAAUAACUAAAAAAAUUACAGAUUUUGCUAUAUUUCUUAAAAUUUAAACAUUUGCAGGAGAACUUUGAGAUAGAACAAAGUGUAUUGAAAUUAAAUCACAAAAAAAUCAUAAAAAGACUGAUAAAAUAUAUAAAUAGCAAUUGUUCUGCAGACCCUCUAAAUAAAGAAUCAGUCAAAUUACAAGCUGCGUGAAUCAAAGAGUCAAAAAUCUUUUCUUUAAGCAAAAAAGGGCAAAAGCAAAAAGACUUAAAGAAACUUGGAACCGUGGCAACUGACCUCAAUUGUGUUACAGAAACAAAUGCGACUGCAUAGCUGGGGUCUUUGGCUUUUCCCCUAUUUUGAGGAAAUAGAAGCCAAUCCUUUCGCUUUCUCCAGAUAGAAAAAAGGAAGAGAAAGUUGGAAAAGCAGGUAAUGCAGAUGAUUGUGCAACUGCAACCAAGACUUUAAUUACAACGACGUUAAUCCAUGUGUGGUUGCGUUUUGUCCUUUCUAGUUUCUUUCACUUUCUUUGUUUCUUAUCUAUGUGCGUUACAUGUGAUUGACUCCAAAUACCAAAUUUGUGUGUCCUUUCUUGGAUGCCUUUCCCUGUUCACAUUUUGAGUUUUCAGACUUUCGUUAUCCUUUCUUGGAAACUUUUUUUGGGCGAGAUGAACUCUUACUCAUGACCUUCAUUUUCUUUGUAACACUGUUACUUAAUUUAGGUUAAAACCUUAUCUCAUAUACCCAUCAGUGUAUUUGGAUGCUAAUUGAUUAUAAAAAUAAAAAUUAAACCUUUGACAAAAAUUAGAUUAUGAGAGAAUCUGUGCCAAUUAUGAUCGGACCUGAAAUCUAGGAUAUCCGUCUCUAAUGCAACAAUUUAUAUCUUUUGUUUACAAUUUGAUUAUUUUAAUAUUAGCGUGAAUCUAUUUGAUGUACAACACAGUGCAUAUGAACUGUGAAAGCUCCUUCACUGCUGCUUUACAAGUUACAACCACUAGCUUAAUUUGUAAUUAAUGGAUGGAUAAGAUAAAGCCAAAUUAAUAAUACAAUCAGCUAUAUUAUAAAUUCUUUACUCAAUCAAUUAUUUAAUCAUACAAUUUGCUCAACUGAGAUUUGCAUGAUCAUAAUAAAUUAAUACCAAGGUGUUGCAUCUAAUCAUAAUGCCACUAAUGAAAGCUUCCCCCAAUCUUGUCUUCUUCGCUCGAACGAGUUUUAGAGGACGAUGGCUGUCCGUGAAAUUAAGACUUCAUGAUAAGGGUCAAGAUCCCACGACCAAUCAAAACGCAUCUGAUUUCACUUUGCAGUUUGGUGAUAUUUUUUAAUGCUAAAAAAAGAAUUAGAAUAUUUUAUUGGUUGGGAUCGAUAAUUAUUUUUAUCUCGAUAAAAUGAUUGAAGCUGUCACUACAACAAUAAUGACCUUUUGCAACAACAAGGGUUUGUUGAUCAAAGUAUAAAUUUUGUUACCUUAGAUUGUUGCAACAAAAAUACGUUUGUCUUUAAGGUCGUCGACCUAGCACUGUCGCGCUCUAUAUUCAGCAACAAAACAAAAGUUUUCUUGCUUUAAACAUUUUUUUGCAACAAAAUAGAUUCGUAAUAAAAAAGUGUCCAAUUAGUUUACAAAAUUGUUUUGCAACAAACUCUUUUGUUGCCCUUACACUAAAUGUUUUUUACAACAAUAUUAUUUUGUUGCUAAGAAAUAGGAUAAAUAAUUUUACUACAAAACAAUUGUGUAGAAAUAAAAUUUUUUCAACAAAAUAAUUAUAUUAAAAUUUCUUAAAUUUAAUACAAUGAUAAUUAAUACCAUUAUAAGAAAAAAGAAAUUAAUUAAUUCAAAAGAAUUACUAUUAUUGAUGACAAAUACAUAAAAAUUAUUGCAAGAUGUAAUAUCUAUUUUUUUAAAUUACAAAUGAAUAUAACUUUAUUAAUUUUCUUCAUCUCGUGGUAUGAUUGAACUUCAAUAUUCCCAUGCUUGAACUUCAAUAUUCCCUACAAAAAAACACAAACAAUAAUUAGUUAACUUGUAAAUGUAAUAAUCAUGUAAUAUUGUAAUAAAAAAAGAUAAAUAAAAAAUAAAGAAAAAUUACACCAUAUUGAAGAACAAUAGAAGAGAUAUGAAGAUAGAGAUUGAGUUAGAGAAUGAAAGAAUGAGAAUUAUACAUUUGAGAUGAGGGAAUGAAAGUUAAAGAAACUUAUAGAUGAGAGAAUUUAGAAUAAAAGUUAGAGAAUGAAAGAAUAAAAAGUGAAAGAAAUAAAGUGUAUGAGAUAUAAAUAGAGAGAUGGAGUUUUUAGCGAUAAAAUUGAAAUUUUGUCACUAAAACUUAUUUUGGCGGCAAACCACCCGCCUUUUAUUUUAAAAAUUUUCAAUUUGUUUAGAGACAAAAUUCUACAUUUGUUGCUAAAAGUAUACAUUCGUGAUAAACUUUAUCUUUGUCUCAAAAAAUAAAAAUGUUUGGUAGAAAUAAAAUGAUUUAAUCUUUAAUCUUUGACUUUUAGUAACAAAAUUAGAAUAUGUUGCUAUAAAUACACAUUUAACAACAAAACUCAAAUUUUGUCAUAAAAAGUCAAGAACUUAAGAAGUUAAAUCUUUAAAUUCAGAAUUUUAACUACAUAGACCGCCAUUGGUCACUCUCUCGUAACAAAACUAUUUGACAACGAAGAUUCUCUUACUAAAUGUUUUGGUACCAAAAUAUUUAGUUUGGCGCUAAAACUUUUAGCAACAAAAAGCUAAUUCGUUGCUAAUGUAUGUCUUUAGCUACGAAAUAUUUGUCGCUAAAAAUGUUAAUUAAAUAUUAAUUUAUUUCUUAAGUAUUUGACAACUAAAUAUUUUUUAUGUUGCUAUUAGGAGUGUUCAGAAUCCAAUCUGAUCCGCUCAAUCCGUCUAAUCCGCGAAAAUCCGAUCCGUGGAUUGGAUAUGAAUUGAAAAUUUAAAAAUCCGCAGUUGAUGGAUUAGAUAUGGAUUUACUUCUGUAAAUCCGUAAAAAUCCGCGAAUCCGCAAAAAAAAAAAAUAUAUAUUUGUUUAGUUAAAAAAUUAUUAUAAAUUUAAUUAAAGAAUAUUAUAAAUGUGACAUUACAUAAUUACAUAAGCACUAUAACAUAUCUUAGCCAUUACCCAAUAAUAAUAAAAAAUAAUCAAAUAAUCAAAUAUACGAAUAUAACUUGUAAAACAAAAUAAAAGCAAAGUCACACGCACUAGCAAAAGCAAAAUAACAUAAUGCCAAGUUACCAACAAUUUGCAAAGUCACCCGAAAUCAAAGUAACAUAACGUCAAGUCACCAACAAUUUGUAAACAAAAAACCCUAAGCUUCCCCGCCGUCACAUGCACUAGCAACACCCAAUACUGGUUCGAUACAGUACUCUCGACACCAAUUUGAAAGAUGUCGGCUGCACGAUUCCAGCAAGAGCAAGCUAUCUUCUUCCUGGAGUCCAUCGAGCCACUUUACAAUCACUAGUUCCAAUCAAACAAUUGCACUAUCACAACCUUUAAGAUCACCACCCGUACUUCUCCUAGUUCCCAUCGUUGACGGCUUUGUAAUCACCACUUUUUUAUAAGUACAACAGCCCUGGUUAAGGAUUAGACUAUGUUUGGUUUCAGAAACUUCGCCAUUUCAAUUAAUUGUGACUUUAUUUGAACAAUUAAUUUCGGUAUUAUAUUAAUGUAUUAUUGUAACUUUAUUUGAAUAAUUAAUCUUAGUGUGUUAUAUUUUGAAACUUUAAACAUAUUAUUGUAGCUUUAUUUGAACAAUUAAUCUCGAUGUGCUAUAUUUUGAAAUUUUGAAUGUAUUAUUUUAGUUUUAUUUAAACAGUUAAUUUGUUUAAAUAUUAUUUAAUUUUAAAUUUAAUUGGUAGUAAAAUUAUUUUCAUAUUAGUUUUUUUUAUUUCAUUAGUUCAUGGAUUGUGGAGAACUAAAAAUUUUAAUCGGAAACUAAUGCAUAAAAUGGUGGAUUGGAUACGAAUUAAGUUAAAUCUGUAUCCGAUCCACAGAAGUAUGGAUUUAAUAUUGAUUGAGUCAAAUCCGCAUCCGAUCCGCAGAUGUAUGGAUUGGAUUUAAAUUGAGUUUAAUCAAUCUGUGGAUUGGAUUGGAAGAUAGAGAUCAAGCUGAGGAUCCAAGAACAUUUUAGCAGAACAAAAAUCUCAAUCAUUGAACUUAGAAUUGGCUUUGGUAGCGGGGAAACAGAACCAAUAUCAACCAUUUGAGAUUUGGUGGAUGUGAAUAGUUUCCAAUUCAAUUGAUAUUUCUUCAAUAAAUAUAAUUUAAAAUACAUAAAAAAUCUCUCUUGAGAUUAACUAGAAUCCUCCAUCAGAAGAGCUUGUGAAUGGUCUCAUUGUGAAAGCGUGGGGACAAUUUUCCCGGGGUAAUGAAGCCAAAAGCAAAAAAUGAUUUGUGAUGUAAUCUGGUAUUAUUUUAUGUUACCACAACUCAAUCCGCAAAGACUAUCUAUGAAAGCAACAAGAAGAAAAUCUCAUACUCUGCAAGCAAAUUGAGAAUUUUAUAAUAUGUUGGUCAUAGAUAUUAAAAGGGACGGAUCUCUAUAUUUUAAUUUAAGUGUUUGUUUAGUUGUUAUGUUUUAAAAAUAUAUUUCUAUUAUUAAUUAUGUUACAUUCUUAUCUUUAUUUUUCUUUUUAUUUUUACAAUAAUAUCCUAACAACAAUACUUUUAACAUUAAUUAAUUUAUUUAUAAAAAAUUUAAUUAGCAGAUGAACCAAUAAAUAUUUAUUAACAAAUUAACUAAUAAGUAUCAAUAUAUCAAAAAUAAGAUUUUAUGUACCUUCAGAACAAUCUUACUAAUAAUUAUUUAUAAAUAAAUUAAUAUUGACUAACUUAAAGUAAUAUUUGAUAUCCUUUCAAUAAUCUUACUAACAAUUAUAUAUAAAAUUUUAAUUUACCAAAUUAAUAAAGUGAAAUUAUAACAUAAAAAUUUACAUUAGUUUUUAUUUUAUGUUUAAGAUUAAUUUGAUAAAUUAAAAUUUUUUCAGUAAUAUCUGAAAAAUAUUAUUGCAAGAGUAUUAUUAUAAAAAGAAAGAAAAAUUAAGGGUAGGAACAUAAUAUUUUUAACAGUAGAGGUUUUUGAGGUAUUAUUUAAAAUAUAAAGACUAAAUGGCCUAUUAAGCUAAAAUAUAAGGACUUAACAUGCAUUUACCCCAUCGAAAGAAAAUGUUCACUAGCUACCAUAAAUUGCAACAGAAACACUAGAUCUAUCUUGAAUCCUCCUGAUUGAAUUUACAGUGUGUGAUAUUGAGCAAAUGGCAAAUGGUUUUAGCAGCAAUAGUCUUGCUUUUGAAUCUCUGAUGUGAUAUGUCUUCUCAAUUGAUUACUUACUUGAAAGUUGAUUAAAUAUCUCUAUAUAAUAAUCAUAAAAAUAUUUUCUGCAUAUGUUAUAUAUGGGAUUGUCACAAAAUAGUAGAAACGCAUCAAAUAACAAGAUCAAUUUUAGAUGUAAUAGAAUACUAGUAUGAACAAUCUUUUUAUAAUCUGAGAGACGUUGAUACCAAACAUUAAAAAACUUGAAGCUGGACUGGAGGAAGGAAAAUUAUAGAAGCUAAUAUUAAUCUCCUCCGGUUUAAAUGAAUCUAACUAAGAUUAAAUGGGACAGUUUCCAUUUCAUCUGUCGCAAACAAUCCAAACUACUACCGGUACCUUAAAUCAGAGAUCAUUAGCCUUUUUUCGAAACCAGAAGUAGAACAAGGAUAACAUAUAGUAAUGAUAUUGUGAUCGGAAUUCGGAAACUUCACCAAAAGGCAAGACUAAAAGCUCAUAUUCACUAAAGCUAAUUUGUAAGAACUUGUAAGCAUAUUUAAGAAUUUGCACAUAAAGGACCAGAAAACUAUAAAGUUUCUUCUAUGAACGCAAAAGCUAACCUUCCGCAGGUGAGUGAAGACACUUCCAUUUGCUGUCUAUAGUAUUUGUUUCUAUCUUGGGCCUGAUAAUUGAAUUUCUGACAAAAAUGCACCACUAUUGUCAUCAAUUACUCCCGAAGAAGUACCCUUUUCCCUGCUCCACUUAGAGAAACUUGAGUAAGCCCAUGAAUUCAACUGAGAAGGGGUUGGAGGCUGAGGUACCGGACAGAGACCUUCAAGCAUUUGGACAACUUUAGUCAUCGGUGGUCUCAACUGCAUCUCAUUUUGUAUGCACCACAAUGCAACUUUAAUUGCAGUAGCAAUACUCUCAUCAUUUUCAUCCAUAUCUAGCCUCGGAUCAAGGAUUUCUCUUUGUUUACCUUCUUCUAGCAUCUUGAAGGCGUAGGAAGGAAAUUGAGCUUUCUCUGAAUCAUCCCCUACAGAAAAACUCUUCCUGCCCCCGAUGAUCUCUAGCAAGACCAUACCGUAGCUGUAUACAUCACUCUUCUCUGAAAUAGGAUUGUUUGUUAUCCAUUCUGGUGCAAGGUACCCCCGGGUACCCCUCAGUGUCGUGUAUACAAGGCUUUCUUCACGGUUCAUCAGCUUAGCCAAACCAAAAUCUGAAACUUUGGCAGUGAAAUUAUCAUCGAGAAGAACAUUCUCAGGUUUUAUGUCGCAAUGAACAAUCUUUACCUCACACUCCUCGUGAAGAUAAGCUAAUCCCUUUGCCGUACCUAAUGCAAUAUUAAAUCUUGUAUUCCAACUCAAAAACUGGCUUUCCUCAGUACUAUUGAAGAUCCAUUUAUCCAAAGACCCGUUUACCAAGUACUCAUAAGCAAGAAGCCUGUGAGCUCCCUCUAUGCAGAAACCUUUGAGUUUGACCAGAUGAACAUGAUGUACAUUCCCAAUUAUUGUGACUUCAGCGCUAAAUUCCUUCUUCCCCUGCCCAAUGCUCUCCAGCUUUUUGACUGCCACUUGGAUACCAUCUGGUAGCAUGCCUAGAUACACUGAGCCAAACCCUCCUUGUCCAAGCUUUGCAGAGAAGUUUUUAGUUGCUUUACAAAGAUCAUCGUAACUGAAACGAGUGGGCAUACCUGAAAAACUUUCCAAGAAAUAAUCCUCUUCCAAGUUUUCUUGAGAAAAUUUUGUUAAUCUCUUCCUUUUAUUGUGGUGCCAGAGUCCUGCAUAAAGUAGACUGGCAAUUACAAGUAUAGUUGCAACAACUAUGACAACAAUUAGUACGAUGGUUUUCCCUCCAUCACUUUCUCGAAUUUUAGAGUUUAAGACCUCAUUUCCGCUUGAUAUUUUCAUAUAUGAAACAUAACUGGUAGAACCCUGCUGAGAGCGUUGCAAACUACCUAUCUGAUCAAACAAGAAGCAAUUCUUCGUACUAUUUUCGAAGAACAGCACAGAGCAGGAGCAGUUAUGUAGGCAAGCUUCUUUGCAUGUAUUAAUAUCAUAUUUUGGAAAGGGUGAUACAAACCCAAGAGCAAAAUAAUCAAGCCUUUCACCCAGAUAGAAAAGCUUUGCCGAAUUCAUGGAUUCAUUGCAUGUUGAAGCAACUGGAGGUCUGCAGUUGAAUUGAGAUCCGAGGGAAGGAGGGCAUUGGCACCGAUUGUCAAAAUAGCACACAAAAUACGGGUUACAAGGCUCAGGAACGCUGCAAGAAUUUUGCGGGAUCUUGAUUACCUCAGAAGUAGCUGCCCUUCCGUUACGAAGAUUAGAAAAUGUAAUUUCCCCAUUAGAGCCUAAAAUGGCAGCCCAGGUAGCAUUCUCAUCAUUGUUUUUUGAGAAGAUGAAUUGCCAAAGCAAUGCCUUUUUAAUAUCAUAAAAAUUCCAAGCAUUGGACACCAAAGAAGCAGAAUGGACCUUGGCAGCUACACUGGUAUUGGUUUUCCGGCUAU
rnacentral:lncRNA from 1 species